rnacentral:rRNA from 1 species
GGGGGAUAUUGCGCAAUGGGGGAAACCCUGACGCAGCAACGCCGCGUGAAGGACGAAGGUCUUCGGAUCGUAAACUUCUGUCUUUGGGGACGAUAAUGACGGUACCCAAGGAGGAAGCCACGGCUAACUACGUGCCAGCAGCCGCGGUAAUACGUAGGUGGCGAGCGUUGUCCGGAUUUACUGGGUGUAAAGGGCGUGUAGGCGGGGCUGCAAGUCAGAUGUGAAAUUCCAGGGCUUAACUCUGGGUGUGCAUUUGAAACUGUGGCUCUUGAGUGUCGGAGAGGAAAGCGGAAUUCCUAGUGUAGCGGUGAAAUGCGUAGAUAUUAGGAGGAACACCAGUGGCGAAGGCGGCUUUCUGGACGAUAACUGACGCUGAGGCGCGAAAGCGUGGGGAGCAAAC